AGGACGAACGCUGGCGGCGUGCUUAACACAUGCAAGUCGAGCGGAAAGGCCCUUCAGGGUACUCGAGCGGCGAACGGGUGAGUAACACGUGAGUAAUCUGCCCCUAGCUCUGGGAUAGCUCCGGGAAACCGGGAUUAAUACCGGAUACGACCACUUUAGACAUCUGUUGUGGUGGAAAGAAUUUUGGCUAGGGAUGAGCUCGCGGCCUAUCAGCUUGUUGGUGGGUAACGGCCUACCAAGGCGACGACGGGUA
rnacentral:rRNA from 1 species